CGGUGACUCGACUGCUCAUAGUGGGGUUGCUGUAGUUUGACUACAUAUAAAUAUAGUCUCUUAGCUAUUUGAAUCCUUAUAGUGUAUGUUGGCGGUAGUAGGUUCGCUGUAGGAGUAGGAGUACACUUAUAGAGGAUCUAUCAGUCUUAAUAGUUGAGGAGUAGUUCUAUACGAUCUAAGAGGCUGAGUCCAUAAAUCUGUGAUCACAGCAGUGUGAUUAUAAAAAAGAGUUUCUAUGGGAUUUAUGAUUGGACUCGAGCUAAUUAAAUGUAG
rnacentral:lncRNA from 1 species